GUGGGGAGGUUGAACAUCCUGCAUAGUGCUGCCAGGAAAUCCCUAUUUUAUACUAAGAGGGGGCUGGCUGGUUGCAUAUGUAGGAUGUCCCAUCUCCCCGCCCACAUCGUC
rnacentral:pre_miRNA from 1 species